GGAAGGAUCAUUGAAUCGAUCGAAUCCACUCUGGUAACCAAACGUACCCCUCGGUGUAUCGCCAGCUUGCUGGCUGCCGAGCGUCGGUCCCCUCGUUAGGGCUCUUCGCAGCCCUCUCUAGGUCCGGCGGGCGUCGCUCCGGCGGUGUCCCUGUGGUUUUUUCCACCGGGCCCCUCGGUUGAGACGUCGGUAAUUUUUAUCCAACCCAACCCACCCCAAACCUCAAUUAAUCCUGAAGCAAUCAGUAGGCGCAGCCUCGUGUUGUGACCUCUAAACCAAAGAUAACUCUCAACAACGGAUAUCUUGGCUCCCGUAUCGAUGAAGAACGCAGCGAAAUGCGAUACGUAGUGUGAAUUGCAGAAUUCCGUGAACCAUCGAAUCUUUGAACGCAAAUUGCGCCCGAGGCUUCGGCCGAGGGCAUGUCUGCCUCAGCGUCGGCUUUACCCCCUCGCCUCCCCUUCACCGGGUGAGUGCGGAUCUGGCCCUCCCGGCUCCGACUGAACUUGUUCAGCCGUCCGGGUCGGCUGAAGUGCAGAGGCUUGAGCAUGGACCCCGUUUGCAGGGCAAUGGCUUGGUAGGUAGCUUUGCUACGCAGCCUGCCGUCGCCCGAGGGGCCUUUGCUGGCGGCCCAGCAGGAACCGGGGCGUUAAACCCCCGGCGUCUCACACUUUCGACCUGAGCUCAGGCAAGAUUACCCGCUGAACUUAAGCAUAUCAAUAAGCGGAGGAAAAGAAACUAACUAGGAUGCCCUUAGUAACGGCGAGCGAACCGGGCAAAGCCCAACUUGAAAAUCUCCAGCCUCCGGCUGGCGAAUUGUAGUCUAGAGAAGCGCUCUCUGCGCCAGUCCGGCCCCAAGUCCCCUGGAAAGGGGCGUCAGAGAGGGUGAGAACCCCGUUGGGACCGGAUCCUGGUGCUCCACGAGACGCUUUCGCAGAGUCGGGUUGUUUGGGAAUGCAGCCCAAAGCAGGUGGUAAAUCCCAUCUAAGGCUAAAUACAGACGGGAGACCGAUAGCGAACAAGUACCGCGAGGGAAAGAUGAAAAGAACUUUGAAAAGAGAGUUAAAAAGUGCUUGAAAUUGUUGAGAGGGAAGUGAUUGGAUCCUACGGGUGCGCCCAGGCACACGCCUGCCUAACGGUUGGCUGAAUGCGCUGGGUGCUGGUCAGCAUGGGUUGGCCGGGCGGGACAAACCCGGGGAUUGCUACCCCGGCUAUGUCGCCUGGCCGACUGAGGAAAGAAGGGCGCUCUCUGAGUCCUCCGGGAACUGCGCCCUCAAGAUGCUGGCGGAAAGGUUCUAAUCAGCCCGUCUUGAAACACGGACCAAGGAGUCUAACAUGCAUGCGAGCUGGUGGGUGGCAAACCCAUGAAGCGUAAGUAACCUGACUGGUGGGAUGGCCUGUGCCUGCACCAUCGACCGACCAUGAUCUUCUGUGAAAGGUUCGAGUACGAGCAUGCCUGUUGGGACCCGAAAGAUGGUGAACUAUGCCUGAGCAGGGCGAAGCCAGAGGAAACUCUGGUGGAGGCUCGUAGAUGUGCUGACGUGCAAAUCGCUUUUCGGACUUGGGUAUAGGGGCGAAAGACUAAUCGAACCAUCUAGUAGCUGGUUCCCUC
rnacentral:misc_RNA from 1 species